CAGCCCUUCUAAAAUGGAGUUCUUGCACUGUUGAUUUGUUUUAACAGCAAUGUUGGCCUAAUAAGUUUCGGCAGUAAUGUUGAAAUCACCGGCUUUUUUGCUUAGAAUCUGACAGUCUUGAUAUACAGAAUUUUUGAGAGACUUUGUCUCUUCUUUCAAAUUUUGAUCUGAAAUCAGGUAGGAUUACCCGCUGAACUUAA
rnacentral:misc_RNA from 1 species